CUACCUUUUUAUGAGUUCGUUGAACAGCAGUACUAAAAUUGCAGAGGGAAACGAGUACAGCAUCUUCUGACAAGCAAGAUUAUAAAGAAGCAGCUGCCCACCUUUAUAUCAAAGAUAUUUAUUGUGUAGUAUACCAGAAAUACUUGCUAAUUCUGCUAUUUUCCACAAAUAUGAGUCUCCUAUUAUUUAGCACAGUGGAAAAAUACAUGCCUACAUGCUCUACAGUGGCAUAUCUAUGACGAAGAAUUGAAUCAGAACACCAGCAACCAAAGAAAAAAUGUGACUCACAAUAUGAUACUAUUGACAGAGAAGUCUGGACUAGGAGAGUUUACCUGCAUGUGCAAGGGGAUGAAAAGGGAGAGGAAAAUGGUGCCACUCUUUUCUAUCACAAAUAUGGAAAAUAGCACAACCUGCCUGUGUUGAGAAAAACCAGGACAGAGUUAUUCUUGUGUCUCGACAGAGAAAGGAUCCCAAACCAGAUGUCUCCUCCUGAGAUCUCUAAUCUAGUGCUCAAGGCACACAUGAAAAACACAGCUCUGUGGUAAAAUCAACGUGGCGGAUAAUCCCCCACUAUAAGAAAGCCCUUUAGAUGCUGCAGAUGAAUGUUCAACAUCUUCCACUACUGCUCUGACCUUCACAGAAGAAAUUGAAAUAUUGAAAGCACUGCAGUGGACAGAGAGUCAGGAUGGCCAAACAGGCAGGAAGAUGCUUUCUUAAGAGAUGCAGGGAGAAAGCUGUGUAGGAAAGCAGCAGAAGAAUUACAGAAGUGAGACUGAAUGAACCUGAAAACUGUCAUUUUUUUAAAAAAUGAAAAGAAACAGAGCAUUCAUCCAAGAUCUGGGGCAUCUGCAUAUGUCUACCUUCUUUGCUGCACAUCUGCAUUUAGAUCUUCAUUUCCCAUACCAUGAUAAAGUAGUGUAACAUUAGUUGUCAUGAACUGGACUUUACUCACAGAUUGAAGAUUUCACUUUGACUCUGAGCACCUAGCUUGAUUUUGAAAGGGUAACUAUUAAUCCACUAUUUGAACCCUAAUUUUUCAAUGGGCAUAUCUGUCUGUGUGUACUAAUAUCUGACAUUCUUACAAAUACUAAUGCCCAAUAUCAACUUAGUUGAAAAUAUGAAAAGCUGUAAUUCCUGGAUUUCACUGUAUUAUGCAGUGAUAGACUUGUCAGAGGACUACACAGACCUCUUGUUUCUACUGCCCAAGGUUACACAUGCAAAGUAACAUGCCACAUGACAAAGUAACUUGUGGUCUCCCAGCUGAAUAAACAUCCAUCUGGGAGCAGAAAUAAAACGGCAGAAUAAAACAGCAGAAUAAGACAGCAGAAAAAAAGUUUUGCUAAAAUGAAAAUUUUUCAUUUUUUUAACACCAAGACUUAAUUCACUGAAGAUUUUUUCAGAAGAAAAUUGAAAUAAAUUUUGCGUUUUGUACUUCAUUUCUCUAAAAUCAGAUUAGAGAAUGUUUGAAUGGGGAAGGGCAACUAGAACUGGGAAGAGCUGAAAGAAGCUGGAAGAUAAAGCUGGAGUUUACACCAAAUUAAUCAGGCCUAGAACUGGAUGCAGAUGUUUACAAAGGAAGCCCAGGGAAAAGUCAGCACCAGGGCCCCGUCAGAGAUAAAUGGCUGUUAAGAUCUGCCUGCAGAGAGAUUCAGCAUGUGGAGGUCAGUCUCAAGCAGGUGAUUUUGAGAUGAGGUGAUUUUUUAUUUCCCUUCUGAGAAGGCCAUCCAGCAAACUGAUGUCUGAAGAGAUACCCUGUUUCCCUUUGCUAACUCAGCAUGAAUGGUGGAUUAUUACACAGUUAAGUACAGGCAUUUCACUCACAUCUAAGGACAGCUCACACCACUCAGUGGGAAAUAUUAUUUUCCUCUUCUGGUAACUUAAGCUACGAUAUUAAAAAAAAAAAUCAGUACUUGAAUUAUAGAAAAUCUGCAAUGCACAACUGGAAAAUAAAUCAAUAAAAUAUCUUUCCUAACAAAAUAUGCAGUUUAUUACAACACUGGAUACUAUAUUGCUUUUUCCUGAAUAGAAAGAAGGUGGAUGUCUCUGUUUCAUAUCAGCAUAUUUCUAUCUUGCAAUAAAUUGUAUCUAUAAAUUAUUUAUACCGUAACUUGUCAACAGAGAAACAAGCAAUGUGUGUUUAUAUAUAAAGGGAAUGUACAUGUAUUUGUACUAUGAAAGUAAAAGAGGGGUGGCAGAUGACCAAAAGGAUAUAUAAGUUAAAUCUUCUGCAUAGCAAGUCAAAGAAAAAAGGAAUACCAGGAAUAAUAAAAAAGUAUUUGACCUAGAAAUUAACUAUAAUUUUAUAAUAGCCAUUUUAAACACACUCAUGAAAUUCCCUUAGUCUUCUGUAGAAAGAGGUUAAUUGUUUUUCAGAAAACUCUCAUGAGGUAUUAUUAAAAUGGGGCAUUUAGUAGACAGCUAACAGUAAAAACAAAUAUAUAUGGCAGUUCACUUGUCAUAGAGAAAUUGCAUAAAAUUGAUCAAUUAUUUCUGAUCAGCAGAAAAUUCAGGUAAAAAAUUAUACCUGCUAGGCAGACUUUUUAGGUAAAACUCAAGAAGUUACAGAAAGGGCAAAAUAAAAAUAUUGUAUGUGAAGUAAUAUAGAUUCUAAGUCUAUGUCUAGGCAAGCAACAAAUCAAAUAAUGCUGUGGUUGACUUGCCUCUGAGCUAUAUUCUUGAGAAAUACAACAUUCUGGCACGCGGACCAAUAUUUCUAUGCACAAUCAGCCAUAUCCCACAAGGAAUACACAGUAUUUGAUGUAAAAUCAGAUACACUAUUCUUCACAGUGGAUGAAUUUUCGUUUAUGUCCACUGACUAUUUCACUAAAGUAAAAAAUCUCUGGAAGAAAAAUGUUGCAAAUUAUUAAAACAUUGCUCUUAAAAUGUCUCAGAGGCUUUUCUCCUCUUAUUCUUUGUUCUUUAGAAAUGAAUAGUUAAACUAUGAACAAUUAACAUGACUGUAUUUUAGCUAAGAAAAAAGAAUUAACUUGAAAAGCUAGACCCAUAGCAUUAGAUCUAGAACUCAUUUCUCAGAUAGUUACUACUAAUAAUAUAUUGUUUUCACUCCAUAAUAAAAAUCAAAUGCAGAUUUUACUCUAACAACAGAGUCUUGAGUGCACAGCAAAACAUAAGAAUAAUGUGCUGAUACUUCUCUUUUCUCUUGUGUUGUUAUAAUUACGGAAAACACAGCACCUUAAUGUCAGUUUUCGAAAUUUGCAUCAGCAAGUAACAUCCUGAUAGGAGGACUGAUUUUAAGAGGAAUGGGUCAAAUAAUCUACUUGAACAUAUCAACACUCACAAAUAAUAUAUCUUUUCUUUGUAUUGAAAUACUUUUUUCAAUACAGAUGUUAUUUACAAUUUUUGUUAAUAUUCUGUUUGUGCAAUUUAGAGUCCAUCUAUUAAUUGAGGAUAAUUUCUUGCACAGCAAGAAAAGCUUAUAAAUAUUAUGUGUUAUAAACAUUGUUGUAAAUAUAAAUGCAGUAAAUGGAUCAAAGAAACUUAACAUGAUUUUCUUCAAGAGUAAGAAAAAAGUACUGAAAUUGGAAAAAACCCAGAUUUACCAUAUGAAUUUAAAUGAUAAUAAUUAUGAAGGCCUAUCAUGCUGAUUGUUGGAGAAUUACUACAGUGAAAGUGUAUCCUAAAAGACUCUCUGUGAAAUUUUCAUUUUUAUCUAGUGUAAUAGGCUGAAUUUUAAUGCCAACAAUAUAGAUUAUUCCAGUAUCAUUCUCAGUGAAACAAUAAUUUCUCAAACACUGAUUUUGAAUAUAAUAAUUUCUGUAUUAGUACUGUACUUGCAAUAGAAAACAAAGUGUGAAAGAGACUGCAAAUGAUGGUGGCAAUGGCAGUCUUGAAUUUCUCUAUAUAGUUGUUGAAAUAAAGAAAAUCCACAACUUGGAGCUACUUUGAUCCUUGGUCUAGCAGGACCUGCAGAACAACUGAAAUAACAGCUUUUGCUGAAAAUAAAAUGUUUAUGGACAUGAAUCUCCAUUUAGGUUUUCCCAAGCUUUUGGGCUGUGAUUCCACAAAUUAAUGUAUUUUAUUCAGUUUUUUCCUUUAUGUCACACAUACUGUCUGUUUUUGAUGAUGCAGAUGUACAUUAGUACUGAUCCUAUCAAUAAAGUAUUUAUC